rnacentral:lncRNA from 1 species
AGAUAUCGUGAAAAGAAAUAGAUUACAUUGUUCAAAUUAGGUUAUCUCCCCCCAACCAAGGAUUCCAUCAUGUAUAGCAUGGCAAAUGUAAUGCUUCAAAUGUCCAAUAUUCAGAUAAACGACAUCUUAGUGUCGUUCCACGGAACUUCUCUGCUUCAAUUUGACCAUGUAAUAACAUUGAGAAUGGAAAUGGGGAAUAUGUCAAAGAGACAACAACCCAACCAAAGAGCUGAUAACAGCCGAAGGCCACCAAUGGGUCUUCAAUGCAGCGAGAAC